rnacentral:rRNA from 1 species
AGGGAUUGCCCCAGUAACGGCGAGUGAAGCGGCAAUAGCUCAAAUUUGAAAUCUGGCUCUUUUAGGGUCCGAGUUGUAAUUUGCAGAGGGCGCUUUGGCGUUGGCAGCGGUCCAAGUUCUUUGGAACAGGACGUCACAGAGGGUGAGAAUCCCGUACGUGGUCGCUAUCCUUCGCCGUGUAAAGCCCCUUCGACGAGUCGAGUUGUUUGGGAAUGCAGCUCUAAAUGGGAGGUAAAUUUCUUCUAAAGCUAAAUACUGGCCAGAGACCGAUAGCGCACAAGUAGAGUGAUCGAAAGAUGAAAAGCACUUUGGAAAGAGAGUCAAAUAGCACGUGAAAUUGUUGAAAGGGAAGCGCUUGCAGCCAGACUUGCCUGUAGUUGCUUAUCCAGACUUUUGUCUGGUGCACUCUUCUGCGGGCAGGCCAGCAUCAGUUUGGGCGGUUAGAUAAAGGUCUCUGUCAUGUACCUCCUUUCGGGGAGGCCUUAUAGGGGAGACGACAUGUAACCAGCCUGGACUGAGGUCCGCGCAUCUGCUAGGAUGCUGGCGUAAUGGCUGUAAGCGGCCCGUCUUGAAACACGGACCAAGGAGUCUAACAUCUAUGCGAGUGUUUGGGUGUCAAGCCCAGACGCGUAAUGAAAGUGAACGGAGGUAAGAACCCUUUGGGUGCAUUAUCGACCGAUCCUGAUGUCUUCGGAAGGAUUUGAGUAAGAGCAUGGCUGUUGGGACCCGAAAGAUGGUGAACUAUGCUUGAAUAGGGUGAAGCCAGAGGAAACUCUGGUGGAGGCUCGCAGCGGUUCUGACGUGCAAAUCGAUCGUCAA